rnacentral:lncRNA from 1 species
CGUGGCCCUCUAACCGGAAGCGAGAGGACUGGAGACCUGCGACAGCAUCACACAUCGGAAAGGCAAACUGAGUCUGCAACCAACUAAAUUACACAUCGGCGAGAAAUAACAUGGUGACGGACGUGCAGCUGGCCAUCUUCGCCAACAUGUUGGGUGUUUCUCUGUUCCUGCUGGUGGUUCUAUAUCACUACGUGGCCGUCAACAACCCCAAGAAACUGGAGUAGAAAGAACUGGCCUGGAGAGGUGAGGAGAGAGGACAGAGGAUAGAGGACAGGAGGUGAGGACAGAGGUGAGGUGAGGAGAGAGGACAGAGGAUAGAGGUGAGGAUAGAGGACAGAGGAGAGGAUAGAGGUGAGGAGGAUAGAGGACAGAGGAGAGGAUAGAGGACAGAGGUGAGGUAGCCAGAGAUCUCUCUCUACCGUAUCUUGUUCUCUUCGAGCUGGAGCUCCGUUCUCAAAUAGGGCGGCUCAGAGCAGGAUAUGGCUCGAGCAUGUACCUCGACCCAUGUAUUCAAUAUUCCAAUGGUACCCCGAAUUCGCCCAGUGUCCAGACUGACGAAUCAAGAAGCUUGAAAUACUGCCGUUUUUGUCCUCGUACUUGUUAGCUUAUUAAACAGAGCUGCAUGGACUGUCGUUGAAGAACGAAGGAGCUGAUUGGCUGACUACCCUGUUGUCCAACGUGACGACGUG